UAUUAUUCUAAAAUUAAAUUAACAUUCUGAGUUAGUAUGAGUAAUGAGUUUAAAAACUAAAAAAUUUGGCGGUAGUUUAAUCUUUUCAGAGGAAUUUGCUUAUAAUCGAUAAUCCCCGAAAUAUCUUAUUUACUCUCGUUAAUAGAAUAAGUUUGUAUACCGUCAUUAUCAGGUAAUUUUUAUAGAAAUAAUUACUAACUCUAAUAUUGUUAUAAAAAUUAGAUCAUGGUGCAGCUUAUGGGUAAAUAAAAGUGAAUUACAAUAGAUGUUUCUAUAAGUUAAAUGGAUUGGUAGUUGAAUAGCUUAUCUAUAAAAGAGGAUUUGAUUGUAUUUAGAUUUUAAAAAGAUUAAGAGAUAUAAGUUCUAAACUAUGUACAUAU
rnacentral:rRNA from 1 species